rnacentral:rRNA from 1 species
UACAGAGGGUGCAAGCGUUGUUCGGAAUCAUUGGGCGUAAAGGGUGCGUAGGCGGUCGGGUAAGUCUGAUGUGAAAUCUCACAGCUUAACUGUGAAACUGCAUUGGAUACUAUCCGGCUAGAGGAAUGGAGGGGAGACUGGAAUACUUGGUGUAGCAGUGAAAUGCGUAGAUAUCAAGUGGAACACCAGUGGCGAAGGCGAGUCUCUGGACAUUUCCUGACGCUGAGGCACGAAAGCCAGGGGAGCAAACGGG